rnacentral:rRNA from 1 species
UUGUGGGUGGAUUAGUGGCGAACGGGUGAGUAACACGUGAGUAACCUGCCCUUGACUCUGGGAUAAGCCUGGGAAACUGGGUCUAAUACCGGAUAUGACUGAUCAUCGCAUGGUGGUUGGUGGAAAGCUUUUUGUGGUUUUGGAUGGACUCGCGGCCUAUCAGCUUGUUGGUGAGGUAAUGGCUUACCAAGGCGACGACGGGUAGCCGGCCUGAGAGGGUGACCGGCCACACUGGGACUGAGACACGGCCCAGACUCCUACGGGAGGCAGCAGUGGGGAAUAUUGCACAAUGGGCGCAAGCCUGAUGCAGCGACGCCGCGUGAGGGAUGACGGCCUUCGGGUUGUAAACCUCUUUCAGUAGGGAAGAAGCCUUUCGGGGUGACGGUACCUGCAGAAGAAGCGCCGGCUAACUACGUGCCAGCAGCCGCGGUAAUACGUAGGGCGCAAGCGUUAUCCGGAAUUAUUGGGCGUAAAGAGCUCGUAGGCGGUUUGUCGCGUCUGCCGUGAAAGUCCGGGGCUCAACUCCGGAUCUGCGGUGGGUACGGGCAGACUAGAGUGAUGUAGGGGAGACUGGAAUUCCUGGUGUAGCGGUGAAAUGCGCAGAUAUCAGGAGGAACACCGAUGGCGAAGGCAGGUCUCUGGGCAUUAACUGACGCUGAGGAGCGAAAGCAUGGGGAGCGAACAGGAUUAGAUACCCUGGUAG